UCCUUAGCAGUCUAGUGGUUAAGACUCUGUGCUUCCAAUGCAGGGAUGCAGGUUCGACCCCUGGGUGAGGAA
rnacentral:tRNA from 1 species